rnacentral:rRNA from 1 species
CAGUAGCCGCGGUAAUACGGAGGGUGCAAGCGUUAAUCGGAAUUACCGGGCGUAAAGCGCACGCAGGCGGUUUGUUAAGUCAGAUGUGAAAUCCCCGAGCUUAACUUGGGAACUGCAUUUGAAACUGGCAAGCUAGAGUCUUGUAGAGGGGGGUAGAAUUCCAGGUGUAGCGGUGAAAUGCGUAGAGAUCUGGAGGAAUACCGGUGGCGAAGGCGGCCCCCUGGACAAAGAUUGACGCUCAGGUGCGAAAGCGUGGGGAGCAAACAGGAUUAGAUACCCGAGUAGUCCCUGUCUCUUAUAC